rnacentral:misc_RNA from 1 species
AAAUUUGAAAAAAUAAAAACAACAAAAAAUGAAAACAAAGUAGAAAUUAAGACAGCAAUAGAAAUGUAAUGUUGAAAUGAAAUCAAUCAUUCAGACUAAGAACUCCCUCUCCAUGUCUACCUCAGCCUACUCAUCUGGGACACAAAAAAAUGCUGUCCAAGUUUAAAUAACGUUCUGUGUUUGUUAUCUCUGGCUUCUCCAGGGCUGUAGAUGACAGCAGAGAUCAAUCCAACUGAGAGGUUCACUGUUUCCCAGCGAGUCUCUCUGAAGCACAGACUCCUCUUGAUGUCUCUACUAUCAAGCAAACACAGUGUAGAGCUGUUACUACUGUAAUGUCUCUAAAAUGUGUACUGGUAUUGGUAAAUGAAAAAAUACAGUAUA